rnacentral:rRNA from 1 species
UACGAAGGGGGCUAGCGUUGCUCGGAAUGACUGGGCGUAAAGGGCGCGUAGGCGGUUCAUACAGUCAGAUGUGAAAUUCCCGGGCUUAACCUGGGGGCUGCAUUUGAUACGUGUGGGCUUGAGUGAGGAAGAGGGUUGUGGAAUUCCCAGUGUAGAGGUGAAAUUCGUAGAUAUUGGGAAGAACACCGGUGGCGAAGGCGGCAACCUGGUCCUUGACUGACGCUGAGGCGCGAAAGCGUGGGGGAGCAAACAGG